AUCUGAGACAAUAUAUGGAUAAUUGUGAAAAUUUGAGACAAAUAUUUUAUUUCUUGUGGAUUAACCCUCAAAUCAAUUUUUAUUUGCUGAAACCGUCUAAAUAGAUUAUUUAUGGUUUUAUCCUUAUGUUACUGUGCAAACUUUAACAUUUUCAUUUAAAUUUCUUAAGCAGUUGAAUUUUGCUAUAGAGCUUUGGAACGUGACGUCACUGCUUUAGGCGUAGGAUAUGAGCGCCAUCUUGUGAGGCCAUAUACAUAACCGACAAUACGGCUGUCUCACAGAUAUUUUGAAUUUUUGAAUCUAAGUUACUUAAAAUGAUUUAUCAAUGGUUCGUACUUGCUGCGUUAUUGGAUGUAAUGUCUAGUGACAACCGAAACGGUAAAAAGAUGGAAAACGGACUUUCGUUUCACUGUUUUCCUGCCUGUAAACAACGUGAGGGGGCUAAGUUAUCUGAGCUAACGAAAAGGAGACGAAUAUCCUGGGUAUCAGCGGUGAGACGUCCUGAUAUUACGUUCUCCAACAUCCCAAGAUAUCUACAAGUUUGCUCCAGACAUGUCCAUUCUGGCAAACCGACCUUUGAAAUGGUAAGGCGAGGUAAACGCCACAACAUCGGACCGACAUGCACGUAAAUUAAAGAGGUGAUACAGCAAAACUACGGUGGAUCAACAAGUUACAGAGACUGUGUUUUCAUUAUUUACCCCAGAAGAGGUAAAUAAUGAAAACACAGCAGCGGAGGCUGUAGAAGAGGAGCAAGUUGGAGAGGCUGAGGAGGAAACCCCAGGAGAGAAGCUCAGCAAGGCUGCACCCUCUGAAGAGGAACAUGAACCAUUGGCGUUGAAAUAUGUGUUCAGUUGGAAGUGUCUGUUUUCUGUCAUUUAAUCAUUUAAUGUGGUAAAACAUUCAUGAAACGUUUGAUUCAAGCUCUUCAAGUUGCAUGUAAACAGGUGAUGAAAUGAAUCACAUUUUAAGUAAAAAAUUGAUAUUUAAAAUAUUUCAGGUAAUAAACAUACAUGUAGUGAAAGAUUAUAUUUUUAAAUAAACAUGUGAUUAAAGUAAACAAUUACAUAAUCAGACAUUUUCCAGUAAACAUUUAAUGUAAACAAGCAAACCAGAGGAAAGAGCCCAUCUUUAAACAUUUAAGAGUAAACAAUAAAGGUGACAAUUAAAUGUCAUGAAAAGAUCACACUUUAAGUAAAUAUUUGUUGUAUUUAGGCCUUUCACAAGGCCUACUAAGUUCACGGCCUCUUGCCGUACUAGGAGUUGACCUCCUGGAAUAAUUAGAGACGUCUUGACCUCAACAUCUGCUCCACUUCAGACGAACUAUUAGUCAUAUUGUUUGUUCCUUGUCUUUCCAAACAGAGGUUCUUUCUCCAGUCUUUUGCUACGGCCCGGUUCCUUUGCAGGCGAGCAGGUUGGGUGCCAGAAUUUUCAUGCACAACAGCUUAAAACUAACAUCUUUCCUCUCUUAAGUGAUUGUUAUUCCACAUCUCUCCAAAUCUGAAUUCCUUCCUGACUUCUAGGUCAGAUUAACCCAGUCCAUUUGAUACAGUCCAUUUCUUUUAGCUUAAAACAUAGAUUGGUGCGAACCAACCAAACAACAUAUUUUUUUAACUAUUAAUAUAAUGAUAUUAAUAUUAAUUAGUCUUGGAUAUAGAGGCCCAGAAACGUUUGAUGAGGCUGGGUUUUUUGGCUGGUUUUACUAUUUUCUCUUUGCAAAUGGAAAUGAAUGCCUCAUCUACCGUUGAACUGUUUAAACCCAACAGUACGAGAACAUCUUUUUUUGAGCAGCCUAAUUUUUUUGUGACUGCUCUCAGUAUGUCCUUGCUGAGAUUGUUCAGACUACUUUGAAUGUCCUUUAGAUCUUGCACCUUGACCUCGGCACAGAUUUUCUCAGACAACCUCUCUACGAUGUCUUGGAGAUGAUUGUGCUUGCAUGUUAUCCUUGAUUUUGUUAUGGCCUUGAUAAGAACUGCAUUGACAAGCAGCAUGAUGGAUGACUUCUGCUCCUCCUUCUCUGAGACUGGCAGCGGUUCAGCAACCUUUGUGGUAACCACUGACUCCUGCUCCGCAUCAACUAACUGCCUGCCUUUUGAGUGGGUCGAUUUCUCUGAAAUUAAGUUUUCCACUGAUGGUACUGUUGUUUCUUCAUCCUCUGGUGCCGGUAAAUCUCUAUUGCAUUGUUCAAUGCUGUAAUUUUGAAGGUUCUUCUUCAUUUUGACUCCAGCUGCUUUGUUCUGUUGUUGUGCAAUGGGAAGCGGAACAGCUUGAUUUCUAGACUGUUGGUUUUCAGUUGGUGAAAGGUCAUCCAAUGAAUUUCCUGGGAUCUCUAAACGGUGUUGGUCAGAGAUUGAGGUUUUCACUUCCCUAACCUUUGGCAGCACCUCAAAAAUUAAGUCGUCCAUCAUUUCCAGACUUAACUCCUUUUCCUUCAACGUAAGAUGAGUUGCCUGUGCCGGAUCUGAAAAGUCCUCGAAAUAAAUUCAUCUACCAUCUUUAUAUCUGGUUCCCUCUCAUUAGAGAUCAAAUCAUUUACAUUAGUGGUCUUUGAAAGAUCCUCCAAAAUGAAUUCAUCCACCAUCUUCAAGUCUGAUUCCUCGUUUUCAGAAACAGGAUUGCUGUCAUAUGUCUCGUCUGUUGUUACCUCCGAGUCUAAUUUCUCAAGGAUGUCUGGUAUCAGGUUUACAUGAAACUGCUUACUCCCACAGUGGUCGGUAUGAGUUUUGGUUGUGUCUUUAUCUUCAGCUUGGAAAUGGCCAACAUCAGAGCAAGCACCUGCGUGGUCUUUUCUCUGUUGCUGGUCUUCAGCAGCUUUUCGUUCUGUCUGACGAUGUUCUUUACAGCGACAUACCAACAGUUCCUCUAUCAGCCGGAGUGCAUGUGGAAGGAUUGAAUCCAUUGCGUCCGACCAACAAAUGUGUUGGACCUCAGAAGUGUCUGGAUCAUGCGUAGAGCAGGCAGAUCUCAAUGAUUCUUUGACAUAUUUAAGGAAUAACUUAUUGAAACAGUCAAAGCUCUUGGGAUGAACUUUCCCUGUAAUCUGAAGGGUGUCUGCAAAUGUUGUUAGCAGCAGCUGAGAAGGACUCCUCCAGUCACUAAACGCUUCCAUUCUCUUCAUGUUGUAGCGACUGAGACAGGACUCUUUCAUCAGGCGGGUUUUUCCCCAGAGAGUGGCUGUGAUUGGUGGAGGGGAGUUAAACAAUUUAAUCUAGUCGAAACGUUCCCCACAAGAGUAAAAAUUAAGCAAACAUUGUUGCUUCACCUUCUCCUCCUUUGGACGUCUGACACCACCUGAACUUGGGAGUCAACAUCCUCCUCUUUCUGUGGAUCGCACGGGUAGGCUUCUCUUCCAUGUCUUUAUUAUUUAGCAUCGUUUGUGGAAAAAAAAAAAAAAGGUUGUGCUGCUUUAGUGGUUUAGAUUUGUGCGGCUUUUGUGCGACGCGCACAUGAUGCGCGUUGGAGAGGUGGUUGUGCUCUUGCAGGUCAGGUGCAGUGAUAGUUUUGUACAUACCUUCCAAUCUGUCGGACAGUUUUUUUUCCGACAUCUGGGGUCAGCCAACGGGUGACCCGUCAGCUUUUAAGUUUGUGAAACCACAAAAAAACCUAAUAAACCGGAGACCCGCCAGAACUGCACACUGUAAAAAAGCUCAGAUGGGAUCUUAGAACUAUGGGAGAUUCAAACUCCACUCAUCAUUUUUAGCUCACAGAAAAAGCAAACUGACCAAUAAGAUUUAGGCUUUCGCGUGCCCUUUGACCCCCACAGACUCACACUGAUGUGCGCUACAGACAAGAUGUUUUGGCACAAAAUAACUUUUUCUUCUCUCCACAAUUUUGUUAAUAGUAAAGAGGGUUGGAUAAUAAAAAAAAUACAAUAACGUUUCUUUUUUUUAUUUAAAGGAAAAUCUGUACAGCUGCAGCUGCACCAAUCCAUACUCUUCAGUCACUUGUGGGCAAUUUAGAAUCACACAGAAAAGCUCCAACAGGGAAUCAAACUUAAAACUCUGAACUAAGAAUUUCUAAUCACAUAAUAGCAAUUAGCCAUAGCUGCAUGGUAAAUUAUUACUGAUAACUAUUGUCAGUAGUCCCUAACAUUAAUAUGAUCAGGCAGCAUGUGAUCAUAUAUAUACGUAUAUAUACUCUUAUUAUAAUGGCUGAGCCAAGAAAAUUAAUGUCUGUAUCAAACAAGUAGCCCUUCGUUUUAUUCUGUACCCGUGAAGUAGCUCCCAGUCUCAAAAAGGUUGGUGAUCUAUUGGUUACAAAGCUUGGUACAACUCUGUCACAGUCCCACCCGGUGGGGAGUCAGGAGUUGGAAUAGCAAGCCAAGCGUGACUGUGGUGAGCAUUGAUUGAAACGUUAAUCAGUUUUAAUCAAUGCAUUUGCAAUGUGGACAUGGAGUAGAAUGGGUAUCUGCUGCUCUGACUGUAUACUGGCGACAGUAUGGUGUUCAAAUCAGCAUGGUACUGGAGUGCUUAGGUAGCCCUACCUGCUCUAUUCAUGAUAGAGUCUGGCUGCAGCUGAGCUGCAGAGUGUUGUCACCACCAAAAUUGCCAACAACAGAAAAAAAGUCUCUAGAUUUGUCAUUAGUUGUUUUUUUU